rnacentral:rRNA from 1 species
AUGAACGCUGGCGGCGUGCCUAAUACAUGCAAGUCGAGCGAACAGACGAGGAGCUUGCUCCUCUGACGUUAGCGGCGGACGGGUGAGUAACACGUGGAUAAACUACCUAUAAGACUGGGAUAACUUCGGGAAACCGGAGCUAAUACCGGAUAAUAUAUUGAACCGCCUGGUUCAAUAGUGAAAGACGGUUUUGCUGUCACUUAUAGAUGGAUCCGCGCCGCAUUAGCUAGUUGGUAAGGUAACGGCUUACCAAGGCAACGAUGCGUAGCCGACCUGAGAGGGUGAUCGGCCACACUGGAACUGAGACACGGUCCAGACUCCUACGGGAGGCAGCAGUAGGGAAUCUUCCGCAAUGGGCGAAAGCCUGACGGAGCAACGCCGCGUGAGUGAUGAAGGUCUUCGGAUCGUAAAACUCUGUUAUUAGGGAAGAACAAAUGUGUAAGUAACUAUGCACGUCUUGACGGUACCUAAUCAGAAAGCCACGGCUAACUACGUG